CCCAUUAAUAUACCAAUAAAUAAAUGAAUCCUUACUCAAUGUAGAAUUAAACAAGUAUCUUUAUUUAAUAGUUGGGUAUUUAAAGGCCGCAAUGCUUAUUACUUUACCAAUUAAAUAUUUACUGGUUAAAUAAUCAAACUUUUAACAACAAUUAUAAUCAUAUAAAUAUUUUAACCAUUAUCAAUAACCACAAAGUCCACUCGUGAGAGUGACUUAACCCCUCGUCAAUAAGCAAAGCGACAGAAAGAAAUUAGGGAAGGGAGGGAGGGAUCUUGAGAGUAUACUUACGCGAAUGCGCUGAAACCGUUAUUUUCUGUUCUUUUAUAGGUUCAAGAAAUAAUCAGUUACUGAGAUCUCCAAUCAAAACUUCCCAAAACCGCACGAGCACCCACAGCAUCUGGGUUAACCCAUUCCUAAAGCAGAUAACGCAUUAUCAACCAAAAUACAACCUGGACCAACAAAUUCAGGAGGAGGCGCAUAUUGGGAAGGAGAAUAUGCCCUCUUGUCCUUGCUCUGUCGUUUUCUGACCGGAGAUACAGAAGCCGUGUUACUGCGCAUGCGCGCGCCAGUAACAGAAGAGGAAUCGAUUUGAUCGGAGCUCGCGCCGGGUCCUACGCAGCAGACAGGAUCAAUGGAUGUAAGAAGAUCUUCUUGCUGGACCGGAGCGAAUUGUUCAAGAAAUAAUCAGUUACUGAGAUCUCCAAUCAAAACUUCCCAAAACCACACAAGCACCCACAGCAUCUGGGUUAACCCAUUCCUAAAGCAGGUG